CAGCAGCCGCGGUAAUACGUAGGUGCAAGCGUUGUCCGGAAUUACUGGGCGUAAAGAGUUCGUAGGCGGUUUGUCGCGUCGUUUGUGAAAACCAGCAGCUCAACUGCUGGCUUGCAGGCGAUACGGGCAGACUUGAGUACUGCAGGGGAGACUGGAAUUCCUGGUGUAGCGGUGAAAUGCGCAGAUAUCAGGAGGAACACCGGUGGCGAAGGCGGGUCUCUGGGCAGUAACUGACGCUGAGGAACGAAAGCGUGGGUAGCGAACAGGAUUAGAUACCCUGGUAGUCCACGCCGUAAACGGUGGGCGCUAGGUGUGGGUUCCUUCCACGGAAUCCGUGCCGUAGCUAACGCAUUAAGCGCCCCGCCUGGGGAGUACGGCCGCAAGGCUAAAACUCAAAGGAAUUGACGGGGGCCCGCACAAGCGGCGGAGCAUGUGGAUUAAUUCGAUGCAACGCGAAGAACCUUACCUGGGUUUGACAUAUACCGGAAAGCUGCAGAGAUGUGGCCCCCCUUGUGGUCGGUAUACAGGUGGUGCAUGGCUGUCGUCAGCUCGUGUCGUGAGAUGUUGGAUUAAGUCCCGCAACGAGCGCAACCCCUAUCUUAUGUUGCCAGCACGUUAUGGUGGGGACUCGUAAGAGACUGCCGGGGUCAACUCGGAGGAAGGUGGGGACGACGUCAAGUCAUCAUGCCCCUUAUGUCCAGGGCUUCACACAUGCUACAAUGGCCAGUACAGAGGGCUGCGAGACCGUGAGGUGGAGCGAAUCCCUUAAAGCUGGUCUCAGUUCGGAUCGGGGUCUGCAACUCGACCCCGUGAAGUCGGAGUCGCUAGUAAUCGCAGAUCAGCAACGCUGCGGUGAAUACGUUCCCGGGCCUUGUACACACCGCCCGU
rnacentral:rRNA from 1 species